UACGGAGGGUGCGAGCGUUGUCCGGAAUCACUGGGCGUAAAGGGCGCGUAGGCGGUCCGGUAAGCGCGUGGUGAAAGCCCGGGGCUCAACCCCGGGUCGGCCGUGCGGACUGCGGGACUCGAGCACUGUAGAGGCGGGCGGAAUUCCGGGUGUAGCGGUGGAAUGCGUAGAGAUCCGGAAGAACACCGGUGGCGAAGGCGGCCCGCUGGGCAGGAUGCUGACGCUGAGGCGCGACAGCGUGGGGAGCAAACAGG
rnacentral:rRNA from 1 species